CUUGAAAAAUUAUAAGAGGUCCAGCCUGCCCAGUGAUAUUAUUUAACGGCCGCGGUACCCUGACCGUGCGAAGGUAGCAUAAUCACUUGUUCUCUAAAUAGGGACUAGUAUCAACGGCAUCACGAGGGUUAUACUGUCUCCUCUUUUUAAUCAGUGAAACUGACCUCCCCGUGAAGAGGCGGGGAUUAUUAUACAAGACGAGAAGACCCCAUGGAGCUUUAAACCCAAUAACAACCCACACUAAAUUUUUCUAAAUAAUAUUAAAGUAAUGUUUAUUGGUUUUAGGUUGGGGUGACCGCGGAGAAUAACUAAACCUCCACGAUGAAUGGACCUUAAUCCUAAUCUACGAGCUACUACUCCAAGAAUCAAUAAUUUGACCUAACAUGAUCCGACAAUCGAUCAACGAACCA
rnacentral:rRNA from 1 species